rnacentral:rRNA from 1 species
UACAGAGGGGGCAAGCGUUAUCCGGAUUUACUGGGCGUAAAGGGCGCGUAGGCGGCCCGCUAAGUCGAACGUGAAAUCCCCGAGCUCAACUCGGGAACUGCGUCCGAUACUGGCGGGCUUGAAUCCGGGAGAGGGAUGCGGAAUUCCAGGUGUAGCGGUGAAAUGCGUAGAUAUCUGGAGGAACACCGGUGGCGAAGGCGGCAUCCUGGACCGGCAUUGACGCUGAGGCGCGAAAGCUAGGGGAGCAAACGGGG